rnacentral:lncRNA from 1 species
AGUGGCGCAUUGGUAAUUCCCAGUGAGCUAAUACGUGAGGUCUUACGUUCGAUUCCCAUGAGCCAGAAUAUUUGAGUGAAUACUUUUGGUGCCUUAGCUGACAGAUGGGCCACGCAGCAUACCAGCAAUAAUCACAAAGUGCAGCAGUAGCUCAAUAGGUUGUGAGUUCGAUUCCCUCGUUUUUUUCCCUUCUUAUUUUUGGUUUAAAACAUUAUAUUUGUC